rnacentral:lncRNA from 1 species
CUCUCAGAAAUCUAGGAGGCUAGAUCGGAGGUGGAGCACUUGAAGAAAAAGCUGAAAGAGAGAAAGAUAAAUCACAAGCUUCUCUAAGAUAAAUUUAUAGAUCAGAGAAUUUUACUUAAACGUACUGAAAGCAAGAAAAAGCAAUUGGAAAAAGAAGGGGCUAAGAUUAUAGCCCGAGCUUGUAGAGCAGCGUUCUUCAUGGGCUUUGAGAAGUGCAAGUCCGUUGCCCAGCUUCAAACUAAUUGUCUGGACGAGGAUUUGCAGGUGGUGUUUUUUGACAACUUGUCAAGGUUCACGAAGACAUCCUACUUUCGAGAU